rnacentral:rRNA from 1 species
GAUGAACGCUGGCGGCGUGCCUAAUACAUGCAAGUCGAACGCAUCCCGUUAAAUGAAGUGCUUGCACGGAUUUUAACAUUGGAUGAGUGGCGAACUGGUGAGUAACACGUGGGUAACCUGCCCGAGAAGCAGGGGAUAACACUUGGAAACAGGUGCUAAUACCGUAUAACAACAAAAACCGCAUGGUUUUUAGUUUGAAAGGUGGUUUCGGCUAUCACUUCUGGAUGGACCCGCGGCGUA